CCCUUAGAUGUCCUGGGCUGCACGCGCGCUACACUGAUGUGUCCAGUAAGCACCUAACCUCUUCCGAAAGGAACGGGUAACCUUUGCAAAGCACAUCGUGAUGGGGAUAGAUUAUUGCAAUUAUUAGUCUUGAACGAGGAAUUCCUAGUAAGCACAAGUCAUCAGCUUAUGUUGAUUACGUCCCUGCCCUUUGUACACACCGCCCGUCGCUCCUACCGAUUGAAUGUUCCGGUGAGCUCUUCGGACUGCGCGGUCUGCAGUUUCUGCGUUCCGUGCGGAAAGUUGCGCAAACCUUAACAUUUAGAGGAAGGAGAAGUCGUAACA
rnacentral:rRNA from 1 species